GGUGGCUCAAAGAUUGUAGGUUCUCGAGGUGGAAGAGGAGGCGGGGGACUAUCAUCAACUUGUUUAUUUAGGCAGCUUUCCAAUAUUGGAGGUAAUGCAAGAGGUUUCCGUAAAACGUUUUCGUAAAUUGAUUCAUCAACGAUUUCUUCAGUUUCUCUAAAUUCAUUUAAGUUUUCAAAUGAGGUUGAUAAACAUCGCGACUUAGAUAAAUCUUUAGAUGUAAUCAAAUCUGGCUCAAAAGAGACACUUUUUGAAGCAGGCGGAAAUCUACUUUCUAAAUAUUGAA